rnacentral:misc_RNA from 1 species
GCAAACUUGGUCAUUUAGAGGAAGUAAAAGUCGUAACAAGGUUUCCGUAGGUGAACCUGCGGAAGGAUCAUUACUGAGGUCAUUCGGCGCUUGCGCCGGUUACCCGCCCUUUUGUCAUAAGAUGCUCGCCCCGCGGUCUUUUCGAUCGGGGAGGCGAGCAGUGGUUAUUUCCGCCGAAGCGUUGCGUCCUGCUCGAGAGAGGAGGUGCGUGACCGCGGCGGGCCAACUUUUUACAAACUCUGUGCAAGCAAACUGAAGUCUGAAAUUGUACAAAAUUGAAAAAAGCAAAACUUUCAACAACGGAUCUCUUGGCUCUGGCAUCGAUGAAGAACGCAGC